UUUAACUGAGCGUUCAGUUACUUGACGUAGACCCGAAACCGGGCGACCUACCCAUGAGCAGGAUGAAGCGAAAGUAAAAUUUCGUGGAGGUCCGAACCCACGAGCGUUGAAAAGCUCGGGGAUGACUUGUGGGUAGCGGUGAAAUUCCAAUCGAGCCCGGAGAUAGCUGGUUCUCCCCGAAAUAGCUUUAGGGCUAGCCUCAAGGUGAGAGAUACGGAGGUAGAGCACUGAAUGUCCUAGGGGGUAUUGCACCUACCGAAGACUAUCAAACUCCGAAUGCCGUCAUCUUAUACUUGGGAGUCAGACUGUGGGUGAUAAGAUUCAUAGUCGAAAGGGCAACAGCCCAGAUCGUCAGCUAAGGUCCCUAAAUGUAAGUUAAGUGGUAAAGGAUGUGGGAUUGCACAGACAACCAGGAUGUUGGCUUAGAAGCAGCCACUCAUUCAAAGAGUGCGUAAUAGCUCACUGGUCGAGUGAUCCUGCGCCGAAGAUUUCCGGGGCUAAAACUUACUACCGAAGCUACGGCAUCAGUAAUGAUGGGUAGGGGAGCUUCCCAUACGGGUUGAAGCAUGACCGUAAGGACAUGUGGACAGUAUGGGAGUGAGAAUGUUGGCAUGAGUAGCGAGAUGUGGGUGAGAAUCCCACAGGCCGUAAACCCAAGGUUUCCAGGGGAAGGUUCGUCCGCCCUGGGUUAGUCGGGACCUAAGCUGAGGCCGAAAGGCGUAGGUGAUGGACAACAGGUUGAUAUUCCUGUACUACCGAUAACCAUUUGAGAGAAGGGAUGACACAGUAGGAUAAGCUAAGCACACUGUUGGUUAUGUGUGCCCA
rnacentral:rRNA from 1 species